CCCUUAGAUGUUCUGGGCCGCACGCGCGCUACACUGAUGCAUUCAACAAGCCUAGCCUUGACCGAGAGGUCCGGGUAAUCUUUGAAACUGCAUCGUGAUGGGGCUAGAUUAUUGCAAUUAUUAAUCUUCAACGAGGAAUGCCUAGUAAGCGUGAUUCAUCAAAUCGCGUUGAUUACGUCCCUGCCCUUUGUACACACCGCCCGUCGCUCCUACCGAUUGAGUGUGUUGGUGAGGAGCUCGGAUUGGCAGCAGUUGGUGGUUCGCCACCGGCUAUUGCUGAGAAGUCCUCCAAACCGCCCCAUUUAGAGGAAGGAGAAGUCGUAACA
rnacentral:rRNA from 1 species